UUUUUUUUUUUUUUAAGUUUAACUAUUCUCUUCAUCUUCAAUUUUGUGAAAGAAGUUUCAAUGUAUAACUGAUAAAAUAUUGAAAAUAAGUUUUGAAAAAGCUCUUUGAUUAUAGUAUUCUUCAAGUCCAAGAGACAUAAAAGCAAGGUCUGCUAUGCAAUCCCAUACCGAUCGUACCAAUAAGGUACUAGUACAAUAUCGAGGUUCAAUUCAGCAUAUGAGUUGAGCUGGUCCAUACUAGUCUGAACCGAGCGAAACUGUCCCUACCACCCGGUGCCACUAAAAUUGGGGUGCAUACCAUAACACAUUGAACUAUCUCAGUACAAGAUGUGGAUCAUACCAUACCAACUGUAUUGUACUGAACCAGUAAGUACUAGUAUGGUACCUAAUACCGAGAUUGCGGACCUUGUAUAAGAGCUUAUGUUUUGUGCGAUUGGAGUUCAAGUAUAAAGAUAUUGAGAAAGAGUUCAAAAGGUAUUUUGCUAUUCUUUGAAGAAUACUGCAAGCAAUUUAUUGAUCCUUGCUCAUAGUUUAUCCACAACAAAAAGCAACAAUCUAAAUUUUUCUAAAAAACCAAGUGAUCGAACAUGAUGCAAAAUCACUUGGUCUCACUCUCCAAAAGAGCAGAUUGAUUCAAUAUAUUGGAUUUUGUUGUCUAGUUCUAUUGGAAACCGCAUGAAGUGAGAAAGCAACAUCAAUAAGAUAACGGCAC
rnacentral:lncRNA from 1 species